rnacentral:sRNA from 1 species
AGGCCGGGAAAGCGUGUCAUGUUGCAAG